rnacentral:rRNA from 1 species
UACGUAGGGGGCAAGCGUUGUCCGGAAUCAUUGGGCGUAAAGAGCGUGUAGGCGGUUCGGUAAGUCGGCUGUGAAAGUCCAGGGCUCAACCCUGGGAUGCCGGUCGAUACUGCCGGACUAGAGUUCGGAAGAGGCGAGUGGAAUUCCCGGUGUAGCGGUGAAAUGCGCAGAUAUCAGGAGGAACACCUAUUGCGAAGGCAGCUCGCUGGGACGUAACUGACGCUGAGACGCGAAAGCGUGGGGAGCAAACAGG